rnacentral:rRNA from 1 species
UACGAAGGGGGCUAGCGUUGCUCGGAAUCACUGGGGGUAAAGCGCACGUAGGCGGACUCUUAAGUCAGGGGUGAAAUCCUGGAGCUCAACUCCAGAACUGCCUUUGAUACUGGGAGUCUUGAGUUCGGGAGAGGUGAGUGGAACUGCGAGUGUAGAGGUGAAAUUCGUAGAUAUUCGUAAGAACACCAGUGGCGAAGGCGGCUCACUGGCCCGAUACUGACGCUGAGGUGCGAAAGCGUGGGGAGCAAACAGG